AGUACUGUGAAGGAAAGGUGAAAAGCACCCCGGGAGGGGAGUGAAAAAGAACCUGAAACCCUGUGCCUACAAGCACCUAGAGCGCGUCAAUGCGUGAUAGGGUACUUUUUGUAGAACGGUCCGGCGAGCGAUUGUAUGCAGCAAGGUUAAGGACUUAAGGUCUGGAGCCGAAGCGAAAGCGAGUUUGAAAAGGGCGUUAAGUUGCAUAUAAUGGGCCCGAAACCGGGUGACCUACCCAUGGUCAGGUUGAAGUGGAAGUAAAAUUCCAUGGAGGACCGAACCGACCUCCGUUGAAAAGGCGGCGGAUGAACUGUGGGUAGCGGAGAAAUUCCAAUCGAACCCGGAGAUAGCUGGUUCUCCCCGAAAUAGUUUUAGGACUAGCCUCAAGUUAGAUACCUGGAGGUAAAGCACUGAAUAGCCUAGCGGCCGAGAGGUUAGCGAAGCUUAUCAAACUCAGAAUGCCAGAGUAUUGAUGCUUGGGAGUCAGACAGUGUCAGAUAAAUGUCAUUGUCAAAAGGGAAACAGCCCAGAUCUACAGCUAAGGUCCCAAAGUCAGGUUAAGUGGAAAACGAUGUGAAGAUACGCAGACAACCAGGAUGUUGGCUCAGAAGCAGCCACUCAUUCAAAGAGUGCGUAAUAGCUCACUGGUCGAGCGUCUUUGCGCGGAGAAUUUAACGGGGCUAAACCUGACACCGAAGCUUAGGCAAUCCAGUAAUGGAUUGGGUAGGGGAGCGUUGUAUACGCGGAGAAACAGUAGCGUGAGCGGCUGUGGAGUGUAUAGAAGUGAGAAUGCCGGAAUGAGUAGCGCGAAUGCAGUGAGAAUCUGCAUGGCCGAAAGCCUCAGGUUUUUGGAGGAAGGUUCGUCCGCUCCAAGUUAGUCGGGAGCUAAGGUGAGGCCGGAAGGCGUAGCCGAUGCACAGACGGUAGAGAUUCCGUCACCACCAAAAGAGUUAAGCACAGGGACACAUUUGAAGUCUCAGAGCCGGGUGUUGGUUCCGGUAGAGAUCGAGGGAAAUUAGUACCGAAGUCUGGGAUGGAAGAUGGCGAGAAAAGCUGUGUGUAUUUCUGAGGUGCCCGUACCGCAAACCGACACAGGUAGGUAGGAAGAAGAUUCUAAGGCCAACGGGAGAAGGGUUGUUAAGGAACUCGGCAAAUUGACCCCGUAACUUCGGGAGAAGGGGUGCUCCAGAGAUGGAGCCGCAGAGAAUCGGCCCAAGCAACUGUUUACCAAAAACACAGGUUUGUGCUAAAUCGAAAGAUGACGUAUACGAGCUGACGCCUGCCCGGUGCUGGAAGGUUAAGAGGAGAUGUGCAAGCAUUGAAUCGAAGCCCCAGUGAACGGCGGCCGUAACUAUAACGGUCCUAAGGUAGCGAAAUUCCUUGUCAGGUAAGUUCUGACCCG
rnacentral:rRNA from 1 species